AAUCCGGCGUUGGGGCAGGCGUUGACGGCCCUCCUGGCAUCGCAAGGGACGUUGGGGUUGAAUUUGUUGGGGAGUAUUGGAACGAGUGCUGCGGUGAACCCUGGUGUGCCUGCUGCAGGGGCUGGAGUACAGAGUGGCUACAGUGCUCAGUCAAAUAUUAGUCCGGGUGUUAUUGGUGGAUAUGGGGCCCAGGUGGGGUUGCAGGCUGCAUAUCCGAAUCCGAAUCAGCAGAUAGGGCAGAGUGGUUCUGGAAGA
rnacentral:lncRNA from 1 species